GACGCGCGCCUGUGCACGGGACUGCGCGCUCUGAAGCUGCUUAUCUCGAGCAGCUCGGAUCUUUCGCUACCCCGAAAAAUCACACUGCCGCAAAGCUCCGAGUCGCGUUUAGGACAGGCAAAAAGCACGCUGGGGCCUAUUUCUCUGAAUCUUCGCACUUUUUGUCAACAUAGAGUUAUACAUUCCAAUAUAUUUUGGCUCCUGUGUUCUUUUAUUUCUGCAGACGGGUUAGGAGACAUCUACAAGCAAGAUCAUGGGAGAGGAUUGAAAGCCAUAUUCGGGGAAAGUACCGAAGAACUGGUUAAACGCAAUAUAUGGUCUUUAGGGUCUUUGGGUACCUCGGAACAGUACUUUGAAUCGCUGCUGGUUGUGUUACGGAUUUUUUCCCAUUCUCUUAUCGGAGUUCAGGGAUUGUAUUGUUUGGAAACUGUGGCGUUAUGUCUUCAGGAUAAAUCUGCUAUGUGUUUGAUCUGGGAAAUACCUCGUGGAAGGUGUACAGCUGGAAAUAGACUAGGGAGCUGCGAAGUCUGUAUUUAAUCGCCGUUUUCUGUGCCUAAUAUACAUGGAAUGAAAGACGAAGAAUGGAUGUUAUUUGGGAAAUACUUAUUCUUCUUCAAGCCAAUUUUAUCAUCCACAUCCCAGCAGCACAGCCAAAUCCACCAAAAAUUCAUGAAGGCUGGUGGGCGUAUAAAGAAGUCGUCCAAGGGAGCUUUGUUCCAGUGCCAUCUUUCUGGGGUCUAGUAAACUCCGCCUGGAACCUCUGUUCAGUGGGAAAGCGACAGUCUCCAGUGAACAUAGAAACCAGCCAUAUGAUCUUUGACCCCUUUCUUACUCCCCUGCGCCUCAACACAGGUGGACGCAAGGUGGGUGGGACUAUGUACAAUACCGGGCGUCACGUCUCUCUGCGCCUUGAUAAAGAGCAUCUGGUGAACAUCUCUGGUGGGCCAAUGACCUACAGCCACCGGUUGGAGGAGAUCCGGCUACACUUCGGCAGCGAGGAUGGCCAGGGCUCUGAGCAUCUCCUCAACGGACAGGCCUUCUCCGGGGAGGUCCAGCUAAUACAUUAUAACCAUGAGCUGUAUACUAACUACACAGAGGCAGCAAAAAGUCCAAAUGGAUUGGUGAUUGUAUCUAUAUUCAUGAAGAUAUCUGAGUCUUCAAAUCCAUUUCUAAAUCGUAUGUUGAAUAGAGACACCAUCACCAGAAUAACAUAUAAGAAUGAUGCGUACUUAUUAACUGGAUUAAACAUUGAGGAGGUAUAUCCCGAGACCUCAAGUUUUAUCACGUACGACGGAUCAAUGACCAUUCCGCCAUGCUACGAAACUGCAACAUGGAUCCUGAUGAACAAACCUGUGUAUGUGACAAGGAUGCAGAUGCACUCCCUCCGUCUGCUCAGUCAGAACCAGCCCUCGCAGAUCUUCCUCAGCAUGAGUGACAACGUGCGGCCUGCGCAGCCCCUCAACAACCGCUGCAUCCGGACCAACAUCAACUUUAGCAUGCAGGGAAAGGACUGUCCCAAUAACAGGGCUCAGAAGCUACAGUAUCGAGCUAAUAUAUCUCCGCAAUAGCUGCACAAAACGUGAAUUUUACCCUGCGCAUAAAUAAUUGAGGUCAGGAGUUAAUGAAUGGCUUCUAAAAUAGAAUCCCUUUGAUGAUCAAAGAUAUGAGUAUUUUGAGAAAAAGCAAGAACAAGUGGCAAAAAACACCAUCUAACAGGAUCAAGACUGCAUUGCUUUUUUUCCUGCCAGGUUUCAUGACAUCAUGUUAUUAAAAUAAAACAUAAGCGAGAAAAGACUUUGCCGUUACCAGCAGAAAUCCUAAUUUCAUACUUCAAGAACAUUUUAAUCAAACACUGAGUAGUCAAAAAAUAUUAUAUCUAUAAAAAAAUGUUUUGAUACCUAACUUUUUGGGAGAAAAACUAAUUUAAAAUGUAAGAAAAAGACAGCCAUGUCACCAGAGGAAAUAAAUGUGACUUUUUAGCCUUUGUACAUAUGAACACCUUGCAGAAAAUCAAACGGAAGCAGACAUGUCAGUCAGGAGGACGACCGCAAAGGCUUCAGAACUACAUUUUGUCAUUGUAUUGAAAAGGCAUGCAGGUCGCAGGAGAUCAGCAGGGCACGACCUGUGCGUCUGCGUCUUCAGCGAUCUCAAAUCAAGCUAUGUUAGAUAAACAUUGAACAAUACCGUCUGUGUGAAACUGAGUGUUUUGGCCUUGUAAAUAUCCUUAUUAUUAUUAUCAUUAUUAUUAUGAUUAUUAUUAUUACUAAUGCUGAAAAUGAAUAAACAAAACAGAAACAAAAAACUAAGAGGAAAAAUAUGAAUAGAGUUGAGUAUUUUACGCUUGGCGCACUUUGAAUUCUGGAGCAGUUCUGAAGCUGAUGCCUUUUUUCUGUUUUAUUGUUUACAAUGGUCAUACACUGUGUUUGAUUAAUGUUAUUGGCCCAAUAAAUGUGUUUGGAAAGUUCA